rnacentral:rRNA from 1 species
UGGGGGAUAUUGCACAAUGGAGGAAACUCUGAUGCAGCAACGCCGCGUGAGGGAAGAAGGUCUUCGGAUUGUAAACCUCAGUAGUCAGGGACGAAAGAAAUGACGGUACCUGAAGAGUAAGCUCCGGCUAACUACGUGCCAGCAGCCGCGGUAAUACGUAGGGAGCGAGCGUUGUCCGGAUUUACUGGGUGUAAAGGGUGCGUAGGCGGGAUAGCAAGUCAGACGUGAAAUACCGAGGCUUAACUUCGGGGCUGCGUUUGAAACUGUUAUACUUGAGUGAAGUAGAGGCAGGCGGAAUUCCUAGUGUAGCGGUGAAAUGCGUAGAUAUUAGGAGGAACACCAGUGGCGAAGGCGGCCUGCUGGGCUUUAACUGACGCUGAGGCACGAAAGCAUGGGGAGCAAACA